GACGAACGCUGGCGGCGGGCUUAACACAUGCAAGUCGAACGAAGUGGCGAACGGGUGAGUAAUACGUGGGUAAAAUGCACUCAUUUAUGGGAUAAGCCUUGGAAAAGGGGUGUAAUACAGAAUCCAGGGGGAAGGGCUCGCGGCUUAUCAGCUUGGUGGUGGGGUGAUGGCCUAACAAGGCGGUGACCAGUAGCCGGCCUGCGAGGGUGACCGUCCACAUUGGGACUGAGAUACGGCCCGGACUCCGACGGGAGUCAGCAGUGGGGAAUAUUGCACAAUGGGCGAAAGCCUGAUGCAGCGACGCCGCGUGUGUGAAGAAGGCCUUCGGGUUGUAAAGCACUUUCAGCGGGGAGGCGUUACCCGCAGAAGAAGCACCGGCUAACUCCGUGCCAGCAGCCGCGGUAAUUC
rnacentral:rRNA from 1 species